CACGAUGCACCACACACUGCAGUGCCAUUGAAACAUAUCUCAAAAAAAAAUUAAUAUAAUUUAAAAAAUUAAAUAAAAUAUAAUAAAAUUAUAUUAUUAAAAAAUUAUAAAUAACUUAUAACAUAAUAAGAAAUAAAAGAUUAUCAAAUCAGAAAUAUGCAAGAUACUGUCCUCAAACAUAGUUCUAUCUCUCAUAUAGAAAAUAUUCAAAACACUAUCCCAAG
rnacentral:lncRNA from 1 species